CAGCAGUCGGCGGGGCCACGGAAGGAGGAGGUAUCGGAGGUUGAUCAGUUGGAGCUUCACUACGCGGUGCUGCCCCAGAAGACGAAGGCAGAUGCGGUUGGAACAAACCUACAAACCUCCGGUGAUCAAGUAAAAUAUGACCAUCAUUUUCCUGCAGCUGGUCAAUUUUCCUCUUCAUGUUUGUGGCAUAAUUGUGUGCAAGCUUGUGCAAUUGUUUAUUUUCAUGCUUGAGUCCUUUAAUCUCCUCUUU
rnacentral:lncRNA from 1 species